rnacentral:misc_RNA from 1 species
CCAUCGCCUCCACCAGCGGCAACUCCACCGUAAAUUGUAUCUCGAACACUUCACCGUAACCAAUUCUCUCCGGUGCUGACUCAACCGCCGGCCUCAAAUUCGCUCUGUCGGCCGACAAAUACUCCGGCGAAAAUGCUUCCAAUCGGAGCUCAGUCGGAAAAUCACCAGAAUAUUUGUUGAAGUAAUGUGGAUUGCUUCCGGCCACCAGUACCCGCCCAUCCGGCAGG